rnacentral:tRNA from 1 species
GGGGGCGUCGGCUAGCAUGGUCUAGGCUCCGCGGCUUGGGCCCGCGCGACCUGGGUUCAAAUCCCAGCGCCCCCA